UGAUGACGACUCGGAGAAUGAGUCGGCACUUGAAAUUUAGCCAUACUUGAUGGAAGAAAAAUUGUCGAAGCACUUGAUAAUCACUUGACUGGUAUCCAAAGGGACCAUGAACUCAGGUCCCAGAUAGAAGAAAGGAAAAUAAGAAGUGUGCGGCUUAUGAAGGGGCCAAAAGAAAAGAGAAAGCUCUCCUGGAAGAAAAACUCCACCAAGAAAAAGCCAAAGCAGAAGCUGAGGCAAAACUCAGAGCUGAAGAAGCAAAUAGGGCUGCAAUGGAAGCUCAGAGAAGAGAAGCAAAAGAGGCUACUGAAAGGGAGGCCAAUGAAGCGUCAAGCCAGGCUGCUGUUCAGAAGGAAGCUUUAGGAUUGCAAACUAAAGCCAAAACCAAGGAAUCUGAAUUUGAAAAACCAAUAAAUUCAGCAUCAGCAGGUAAUUUGGCUACCAGGCAAAUAUAACAACCUUGUACUGAUCUAUAAAUAUAAUCAUUUGCCCUUUUAUCUAAAAAUCUA